rnacentral:lncRNA from 8 species
GGCAGGAGGUCAGGAGUUGAAGGGGAACCCGAAGGCAUUAAAAGUCAAAGAUGAUUUAAGACGGCUGAAAUCAAUGGUUAUCAAGUUGGAAGGUAUGGGGGUCGACACAGCUUUCCUUGUCCACAACCCCGAGGACCCCAUACCAGUCAGCACAGCCUCAUCUGGGAGGGGAAAGGAAUUUAUUGAGGGCCAAGAUCUGAUCGCCAAGUUUUCUGUACACUUUUCUGAUACAUAUAUUUUAAAAAUAACUUUGGUAACACUUAACCUCAAGCAUACAGAUGUAGGAUCUUAAUUUGAUCACCCAGGUGCAGGACAACUUUUAUGCAAUGCAGGACAUUUUUAACUUAUAGUGUAUUUGAGGUUUGAAAAGGCUUCUGAAG